rnacentral:rRNA from 1 species
CCUACGGGUGUCUGCAGUGAGGAAUAUUGGUCAAUGGGCGCGAGCCUGAACCAGCCAAGUCGCGUGAGGGAGGACGGCCCUACGGGUUGUAAACCUCUUUUGCCGGGGAGCAACGGGCGCCACGUGUGGCGCCACUGAGAGUACCCGGAGAAAAAGCAUCGGCUAACUCCGUGCCAGCAGCCGCGGUAAUACGGAGGAUGCGAGCUUUAUCCGGAUUUAUUGGGUUAAAAGGGUGCGUAGGCGGAGCGUUAAGUCAGUGGUCAAAUUGAGGGGAUCAACCCCUUCCCGCCAUUGAAACUGGCGUGCGUGAGUGGAAGAGAAGUAUGCGGAAUGCGUGGUGUAGCGGUGAAAUGCAUAGAUAUCACACAGAACCCCGAUUGCGAAGGCAGCAUGCCGGCUUCCGACUGACGCUGAAGCACGAAAGCGUGGGGAUCGAACAGGAUUAGAUACCCUUGUAGUC